GAAAUACCAAGCUCUGCAAAGGCUGGGGAACAGGCUCAAGUAAUGGGCAAAGUGCUGAAGGAGAUCUCUAGGUAGCAGUUUGUCUUUCUGUUCUCAGCCUCGGAGCAAAACAAAGGAAGAAAGUCCCAUGGUAAAAUGAAUUGAUUGAUAAAGGUGUGCAAAAGACCAGCAGGGAGGGGAGAGCAUUGGAGACCAAUUCUGAGUGGGACUAGCUAGCAACAGAGAACUGGCCAACUGAUGCAUUGCCCAGGGCCUCAUUCCAGAUGGGCCGCAGCAGGAUGCGGAGAAGGGGCACAUUUGGAGAUGUCAAGGCUUUGGCUUGGGUUUUAGGUACACUGUGUGCAGGCUGCAGAGGAGGUAGGCAUUUUAGGGUGGCAGGGAGGUGGAACAGGGCAAGGAAUGGCAGCCAGCAUGCUACAAGCCUGCCAGCAAACAUGAGAGCUGGAGAGGUAAGAGCUUCUAGACCCAGAGGACAUGCCAGCAGUAAGACAUAUCAGUGGAUGCAGAUACUGCAGGACUGUGGCACUCUGGGCAAUGUUCUUGAUGGAGCCUAGGGAGGUUACACUUGUCCCAGCCAAAGGCUGGCUGCCAUGGCAGAGGUGGCGGUGAAGCAGGGGAAGGCUCUUCCUUCCUUCUCUACUACAGGGAAGGAAGAGCAUGGUGAUUGAUGCAUGUGCAGUGUUCCCCGUUGGAUCACUUCACCCUUCUCUCAGUCUGUGGGUGUUUGGAAUUGUUCCAGUGUAUGCAGGUGGACAGCAGCAGUGCUGAAUUCUCCCACUAUCCAUGAGCUAAAGAGCAGUAAUGGAGACAAGUCUAAGGAUGUGCCCUGAGGAGGAAGGAGACAAAGAGCAAAGCAAGCAAAGACACCAAGGGCAAGGAAGGUUUUGGAAGUGCUGUGGCCAGUUCCUGUCCCAGUGCACUAACUUGGUACCUUUUCAACUGUUUCCCUGGUUUUCCUACUGAUCUCUCCUCCAGCGUUCAGGUGGCUUACCCAGAGAUAUAGCUUUUCUGUAGCUUAAUGUGUAGGCCUGUUUCCUAAUGUGUUCCUCAGCUUCCUUUUUAACUCUGAAGGGUGCUUUCCCAAGCCACUCAAGCAACAACAUCCUCUUAAAUUUAUACCUGU